UUUCCGUAGGUGAACCUGCGGAAGGAUCAUUCAUAAUAAGUGUUUUAUGGCACUUUUUUAAAUCCAUAUCCACCUUGUGUGCAAUGUCAGGGUUGAUUGUUCUCUCGAGAGGAUCAACCCCAAACAUCAACUAUAUCUCAACUCUUUGUCUGAAAAAUAUUAUGAAUAAAACAAUUCAAAAUACAACUUUCAACAACGGAUCUCUUGGCUCUC
rnacentral:misc_RNA from 1 species